CCCGCUGAACUUAAGCAUAUUACUAAGCGCAGGAAAAGAAAACAACAGUGAUUUCCUCAGUAACGGCGAGUGAACAGGAAACAGCCCAAGAUUGAAUCCGUGGUGGAUGGAAUCUGAAGCCAUGGAAUUGUAGUGCCAGGGGAGUGAGGCAAGGUCCGAGUGGUGUGGAUAAGCGGUCUGAAAAGGUCGUAUCACAGAGGGUUAUCGUCCCGUAUGUACCACACGUCCUCGGGUCAACAACGCUUCUCUCUUCCAAGAGUCGUACAGUUUGGGAAUGCUGUGCAAAAUCGCUGGUGUGCUUCAGCGAAGGCUAAAUAUUGCUUCGAGACCGAUAGCGAACAAGUAGUGUGAACGAAAGAUGAAAAGAACUUUGAAAAGAGAGUGAAAAGUACUUGAAAUCGUUGAGCGCCAAGGGUAUGGGAGCCCUGUCAUCCUGCCCUAUGGGCAGGUAAUGAUCGGAUAGGUUGGCUUCUUCCGGUGGUCUGCCGAGCUCUGCACUUCGGUGUGGCGUCAGCAAGACCGAUACGGCGAGUGAGUCGACUUAUUAGCCUGUUUCGCCCAGGUGUCGAAGUGUGGAGUAGGUUUGCGGGAGCAGCAGCUUCCUCGGAGGUGGUUCUCACGUGAGCUUGCUACACGCACGAUGCUUGACGCACGAUGGGCACUACCGAUUACUGAAUGAUCUCAUACCACCCGUCUUGAAACACGG
rnacentral:rRNA from 1 species